UGUGGAAGUGUAUUAGGGCCUUGAUUAGGCUUUAAAAAGGAAGAAAAACAAAGAAUAGCAAUUAGGGAAAAACCCAGAAAACAGAGGAGGAAAAAUUCUGAGAAUUCGAGUUUGGUUGCUUAAGAUUGGUUGUCAAUCGAGGGUAAAGGAAGAGAGGUUGUUGCUGAGGAAUCCUUUGAGGAAGGGGAUACGGCCAUGAGCUGAAUCGGACGGUGAUUCGAAGGGCUUGUUAGAACCGUAGUUAGGAGAUCUAUGAAGGACACGCGAGGCGCGUGGGAGGCCGCGAGUGGAAGUGCGACUAUGCACGAAUCAGGCGUGUGAGAAACGAACCCCGAUCUUGUGUUGGCGCGUGAGCAGGUCUAAUAGGAAGGAAUUGUGUUGAAAUACUAUUAAACGUACAUUCAAGGGGGAAAAGGAGUUCGAAACCAAGUAAGUAGCAUAUCGAUCCUUGAACUAGUUCUUAACUUGUUGACAACAUGUGAGUAUGUUGUUUACUUGAUUAAGAGCUUAGUAUGUUAAAAUGAGCUUUGAUGAUAUUGAAUGUUUAUUGUAUAUUGUGACUGCUUGCCUGUGAUGUAAGCAUGAUAUAAAUGAUUGCCAGAAUGUUCUAUGUGUUGAACAUGAUGCAGGUAUGAAAGCAUACAGUAAAUGUGAGUAUGUUAUGCAUGUUAAUGGAAAGGUUAUGACUCUAGGAUAUGCUUAUUGGUUGUUGAGCUAUAGCUUAUUUAUAUGAGUAUGAUAGUCUACUAAUUCCCGCAGAGUUCCUGGCCAACGCGCUGUGUGCUAAGUCAGGGAGCAUGAGUACUCUCCUGACCGUUGGUAUAUGAGAUAAACAGGCCGCCAGAGAAAUUAGUAGACGGGCCGUAUUUGACCGAGAGCAAGUCUUACAUACGAGUCCGAAAAUUCUAGAUAAGCAUAUCAAAAGAGAGUCAAUAACCUAAGCUGGAGGUAGCUGAGAUACCUCAUUAACGAACAGAUGACUCUAGUAAGAGAACUAGGAGUCAAUGAUGAAUAAAACUUAAAGACACAUGGAAAGAUUAGUUAUGAACUCUUGAAUGAUAACCUAGCUACUUA